rnacentral:rRNA from 1 species
AGCGAACGUUUGCGGCGGGCCUAACACAUGCAAGUCGAACGGGCUAGCAAUAGUCAGUGGCGCACGGGUGCGUAACACGUGGGUAAUCAACCCUUCAGCUCGGGAUAACGCCUUGAAAGGGGCGGCUAAUACCGGAUACGACGCGAGGAGCUUCGGCUGCUUGCGGGAAAGAUUCGCAAGGAUCUCUGAAGGACGAGCCUGCGGCCCAUCAGCUAGUUGGUGAGGUAAGAGCUCACCAAGGCGAAGACGGGUAGCUGGUCUGAGAGGAUGAUCAGCCACACUGGAACUGAGACACGGUCCAGACUCCUACGGGAGGCAGCAGUGGGGAAGUAUUGCGCAAUGGGCGAAAGCCUGACGCAGCCACGCCGCGUGAGCGAUGAAGGCCUUCGGGUCGUAAAGCUCUGUGGGGAGGAGAAGAAUAAAGACCUGUGAAGAAA